GGAGCGGUUCGAGUUGUGGCCGGUGCGCUGGUAGUUCUGGCGCGCGCCAUCGACGACGACGGCGACACGGCCGAAGUCCUGCAAGCCGCGAAUGUUGAUCGAUGUCGAUGGAUCGUCGCCGCGAUCCUGUAUCCAGACACCGGGAAUAGCGUAGACGAGAUCACCGACGCGCGUGGCCUGACGUCCCUGAAUCUGCUCCAGCGUCACGACACUGACCGGAGCCAGCGCAUCGAUCGCGCGCUCCUGAGUUUUCGAAGCAGCAACGGUAAUUUCAUCGAGCGACUGAUAGACCGGCUGUCCGAUCUGCGCGUUGGCGUUCAUGAGUUUCGCCUGCGGCACCGGCACUUCCGCCAUCGGCGCGCCCGCGCGUUUGCGCUUGAUCGGUUUUGGCUUGGC
rnacentral:misc_RNA from 1 species